UCAUAUAGGUUUUAUGUGAUGAAUUUGUUUAUUGUCAGUUUAAAAAACGUGAGUAUUCUAUGAGUGAGAUAAAUGAGGUUCGAGAAGAUUGGGCAACUUCUGCCAUUAAUGAGCUUUGACAUGUGACAUGGAGAAGUUCUUGCGCGUUGAUAUGGUAUUUUGAAAGCUUUCUGGAACAAUUAUAAUUUGUGGGUGAUGUGGUAGAACAUUGGUUCUUAUUUUGUUGUUGGGAGAUGUGGUAGAACAUUGAUUCUUAUUUUGUUGUUGUUGGAUGAA